UACGUAGGGUGCGAGCGUUAAUCGGAAUUACUGGGCGUAAAGCGUGCGUAGGCGGUCCGCGAAGUCUGAUGUGAAAGCCCCGGGCUCAACCUGGGAACUGCAUUGGAAACUGACGGGCUCGAGUGUGGCAGAGGGGGGUGGAAUUCCACGUGUAGCAGUGAAAUGCGUAGAGAUGUGGAGGAACACCGAUGGCGAAGGCAGCCCCCUGGGCUAACACUGACGCUCAGGCACGAAAGCGUGGGGAGCGAACAGG
rnacentral:rRNA from 1 species